rnacentral:rRNA from 1 species
ACUGACAGCCAUGGUUACCGCGGCUGCUGGCACGGAGUUAGCCGGUGCUUCUUCUGUGAGUGAUGUCCUUCCUGCCGGCUAUUAACCCGCAGGCCUUCUUCCUCACUGAAAGUGCUUUACAACCCGAAGGCCUUCUUCACACACGCGGCAUGGCUGGAUCAGGGUUGCCCCAUUGUCCAAUAUUCCCCACUGCUGCCUCCCGUAGGAGUCUGGGCCGUGUCUCAGUCCCAGUGUGGCUGAUCAUCCUCUCAGACCAGCUACGGAUCGUCGCCUUGGUGAGCCGUUACCUCACCAACCAGCUAAUCCGACAUAGGCUCAUCCGAUAGCGCGAGGCCCGAAGGUCCCCCGCUUUCCCCCGUAGGGCGUAUGCGGUAUUAGCCUGGGUUUCCCCAGGUUAUCCCCCAUACCGGGCAGAUUCCUAUGCAUUACUCACCCGUCCGCCGCUCGCCACCAGGGAGCAAGCUCCCCGUGCUGCCGCUCGACUUGCAUGUGUUAGGCCUGCCGCCAGCGUUCAAU